UAGGGAAUCUUCGGCAAUGGGGGGAACCCUGACCGAGCAACGCCGCGUGAGUGAAGAAGGUUUUCGGUUCGUAAAGCUCUGUUGUUAAGGAAGAACGAGUGUGAGAAUGGAAAGUUCAUACUGUGACGGUACUUAACCAGAAAGGGACGGCUAACUACGUGCCAGCAGCCGCGGUAAUACGUAGGUCCCGAGCGUUGUCCGGAUUUAUUGGGCGUAAAGCGAGCGCAGGCGGUUAGAUAAGUCUGAAGUUAAAGGCAGUGGCUCAACCAUUGUAGGCUUUGGAAACUGUUUAACUUGAGUGCAGAAGGGGAGAGUGGAAUUCCAUGUGUAGCGGUGAAAUGCGUAGAUAUAUGGAGGAACACCGGUGGCGAAAGCGGCUCUCUGGUCUGUAACUGACGCUGAGGCUCGAAAGCGUGGGGAGCGAACAGG
rnacentral:rRNA from 1 species